rnacentral:tRNA from 1 species
AUGCUCGUAGCUCAGCGGAUAGAGCGCUCGCUUGCUAAGCGAGGGGUCGUGGGUUCGAUUCCCACCGGGC